rnacentral:rRNA from 1 species
UUGAACGCUGGCGGCAUGCCUUACACAUGCAAGUCGAACGGCAGCACGGGUGCUUGCACCUGGUGGCGAGUGGCGAACGGGUGAGUAAUACAUCGGAACAUGUCCUGUAGUGGGGGAUAGCCCGGCGAAAGCCGGAUUAAUACCGCAUACGAUCUACGGAUGAAAGCGGGGGACCUUCGGGCCUCGCGCUAUAGGGUUGGCCGAUGGCUGAUUAGCUAGUUGGUGGGGUAAAGGCCUACCAAGGCGACGAUCAGUAGCUGGUCUGAGAGGACGACCAGCCACACUGGGACUGAGACACGGCCCAGGCUCCUACGGGAGGCAGCAGUGGGGAAUUUUGGACAAUGGGCGAAAGCCUGAUCCAGCAAUGCCGCGUGUGUGAAGAAGGCCUUCGGGUUGUAAAGCACUUUUGUCCGGAAAGAAAUCCUUGGCUCUAAUACAGUCGGGGGAUGACGGUACCGGAAGAAUAAGCACCGGCUAACUACGUGCCAGCAGCCGCGGUAAUACGUAGGGUGCGAGCGUUAAUCGGAAUUACUGGGCGUAAAGCGUGCGCAGGCGGUUUGCUAAGACCGAUGUGAAAUCCCCGGGCUCAACCUGGGAACUGCAUUGGUGACUGGCAGGCUAGAGUAUGGCAGAGGGGGGGUAGAAUUCCACGUGUAGCAGUGAAAUGCGUAGAGAUGUGGAGGAAUACCGAUGGCGAAGGCAGCCCCCUGGGCCAAUACUGACGCUCAUGCACGAAAGCGUGGGGGAGCAAACAGGAUUAGAUACCCUGGUAGUCCACGCCCUAAACGAUGUCAACUAGUUGUUGGGGAUUCAUUUCCUUAGUAACGUAGCUAACGCGUGAAGUUGACCGCCUGGGGAGUACGGUCGCAAGAUUAAAACUCAAAGGAAUUGACGGGGACCCGCACAAGCGGUGGAUGAUGUGGAUUAAUUCGAUGCAACGCGAAAAACCUUACCUACCCUUGACAUGGUCGGAAUCCUGCUGAGAGGCGGGAGUGCUCGAAAGAGAACCGGCGCACAGGUGCUGCAUGGCUGUCGUCAGCUCGUGUCGUGAGAUGUUGGGUUAAGUCCCGCAACGAGCGCAACCCUUGUCCUUAGUUGCUACGCAAGAGCACUCUAAGGAGACUGCCGGUGACAAACCGGAGGAAGGUGGGGAUGACGUCAAGUCCUCAUGGCCCUUAUGGGUAGGGCUUCACACGUCAUACAAUGGUCGGAACAGAGGGUUGCCAACCCGCGAGGGGGAGCUAAUCCCAGAAAACCGAUCGUAGUCCGGAUUGCACUCUGCAACUCGAGUGCAUGAAGCUGGAAUCGCUAGUAAUCGCGGAUCAGCAUGCCGCGGUGAAUACGUUCCCGGGUCUUGUACACACCGC